rnacentral:rRNA from 1 species
GUUGAUCCUGCGUGAGAUUUCCGCUAGAGGAGUUGGAGUAAGCCAUGAAAGUGAAUUUGUGUUUACACGAAUCGCAGAAGGCUGAGUAACACGUCACUAACCUGCCUUAUUGUAUGCAAUAAUCUUGGGAAACUGAGUGUAAAACAUAUAGUUAUUUCAAAUUGGAAUAUUAAAAUAAUUAAGAUAAGAUGGGGUGGCGGCUGAUUAGGUAGUUGGUGAGGUAAUGGCUCACCAAGCCAAAGAUCAGUAGGGGUUGUGAGAGCAAUGACCUCCAGAAGGACACUGAGAUAAGGGUCCUAGCCCUAAGGGGUGCAGCAGGCGCGAAACCUUUACAAUGCACGAAAGUGUGAUAAGGCAACUCCUUGUGCUUAUCUAAAAGAUAGGCUUUUUUUAUAUGUAAUGCGUAUGAAGAAUAAGUGAUGGGCAAGACCGGUGCCAGCAGCCGCGGUAAUACCGGCGUCACAAGUGGAGAUCACGAUUACUGGGUCUAAAGUGUUCGUAGCUGGUUGUAUAAGUUUCUUGUUAAAGUUCUGUAGCUUAACUCGGAAUUGCAAGAAAUACUGUACAACUUGAGACCGGAAGAGGUGUAAAGUAUGAAUUGGGUAGCGGUAAAAUGCUAUAAUCCUUUUCAGACUAACUAAGGCGAAGGCAUUACACUAAGACGGAUCUGACAGUGAGGAACGAAAGCUAGGGGAGCGAACCGGAUUAGAUACCCGGGUAGUCCUAGCUGUAAACGCUGCGGGUUACGCUUUGCCAAAUCUUUGGGAUUUGGCAGGGGGGAAGCGAAGGCAUUAAACCCGCCACCUGGGAAGUACAGCCGCAAGGCCGAAACUUAAAGGAAUUGCCGGGGGAGUACUACAAGCGGUGCGGCGUGCUGUUUAAUUGGAUUCUACACCGAACACCUCACCAGGGGCGACAGCAGAAUGAAGGUCAGAUUAAAGGUUUUACCUAACACGCUGAGAGGUGCUGCAUGGCCGCCAUAAGCUCGUGCUGCAAGGUGUCCUCUUAAGUGAGGAAACGAGCAAGACCCAUACCUAUAAUUGCUAAUCCAGUCGUUGGAUGCACCUUAUAGGGACUGCCUUGGAAACAAGGAGGAAGGUGUGGGCCAUGGCAGGUCUGUAUAGCCCGAAUCUCCUGGGCUACAAGCGCGCAACAACGAAUAGGACAAUGGGAUGCAACUCCGAAAGGAGAAGCCAAUCUCGAAACCUAUUCUUAGUUUAGAUUGAGGUUUGCAACUCAGCCUCAUGACAUUGGAAUCGCUAGUAACCGGAUGUUAUCAACGUCCGGUGAAUAUGUCCAUUCUCCUUGGACACACUGCCCGUCAAAUCAACCAAGUAGGGUUGAGACAAGGUGCUUUCAUUUGGAAGUAUCGAGUCUGAGCUCUGUGAGGGGGAUUAAGUCGUCACAAGGUAUCUGUAGGGGAACCUGCAGAUGGAUCACCUCCUU